GACGAACGCUGGCGGCGUGCUUAACACAUGCAAGUCGAACGGUAAGGCCCUUCGGGGUACACGAGUGGCGAACGGGUGAGUAACACGUGGGUGAUCUGCCCUGCACUUCGGGAUAAGCCUGAGAAACUGGGUCUAAUACCGGAUAGGACCACUGCCUGCAUGGGUGGUGGUGGAAAGCUUUUGCGGUGUGGGAUGGGCCCGCGGCCUAUCAGCUUGUUGGUGGGGUGAUGGCCUACCAAGGCGACGACGGGUAGCCGGCCGGAGAGGGUGACCGGCCACACUGGGACUGAGAUACGGCCCAGACUCCUACGGGAGGCAGCAGUGGGGAAUAUUGCACAAUGGGCGCAAGCCUGAUGCAGCGACGCCGCGUGAGGGAUGACGGCCUUCGGGUUGUAAACCUCUUUCGGCACCGACGAAGCGCAAGUGACGGUAGGUGCAGAAGAAGGACCGGCCAACUACGUGCCAGCCGCCGCGGUAA
rnacentral:rRNA from 1 species